UACGGAGGGUGCAAGCGUUGUCCGGAUUUAUUGGGUUUAAAGGGUGCGUAGGCGGCCCUGUAAGUCAGUGGUGAAAGCCUCCAGCUCAACUGGAGAACUGCCAUUGAUACUGCAAGGCUUGAGUACAGACGAGGUUGGCGGAAUUGAUUGUGUAGCGGUGAAAUGCAUAGAUACAAUCAAGAACUCCGAUUGCGUAGGCAGCUAACUAGGCUGUAACUGACGCUGAGGCACGAAAGCGUGGGGAGCGAACAGG
rnacentral:rRNA from 1 species